GCAGGGGUCUAGGAAAGACAUACGGGCAGCGGACUGGAACAGGCUAACAGGCUAACGCUACGCUAACUUGGCCCCUCCGGAUUGUGGGACAGGGAGCCCCCAUGAGCUGUUCAUGCUGACCCGGCCUGCCUGCUGGGUGCGUGGGCCAGGUUGAUCAUGUGCACCACGAUCCUGAUCAUCUCGACCCUGUCAGUCAUUCUGCGCAGACGAUUCAACAACCGAGUCAAACCCCAUCCGGACGGGCUGGGGGAGAAAGAGAUGGCAUACGUGCAGAGAGAACUGCAGCCAAUGGAGAAGUGAGGCUCACUGCGCUUUCAGGCAUCAGUUGCAGAUCCCCAGGCAGCAGCAACCAGUGGUGACCAGGCUGUAUGGAAAGAAAAGGAACAGAUGUGGGUCCAGGAUGUAGAACAUGUCCUCGGUUCAACGGCUAGGCAACUGUGUGCUUCCCUGGAUAAAUAUCCUCACCACGAGCCUGGGGAUGGCUCAAACCAUUUCUCCCCUUCCUUCCAAGACUGGUUUCCCUCCCAUCAUCCAGCCCUUACUUACAGACAGCUGUAGGUCCUCUGCACCCACAGACAGAAGAGCUAAGCCAUGGACCACACUGCUCAGCAGCUAAAAUGGACAAUAGCAGCAUGAAGCCUUCCUCGUUGAUUGAUUUGAAAUGCUUACUGGUGUGAAUCAUCUAGAAACCAUCACAGGUAGCGCUGCCACAGAGGAGGAGUCAAAGAUCUUCAGUUAUAUACCAGAGACACCAAAGCUCAUGAAAAUACAUUUCUAACCUUGUCGGACUCUGCAUUGAAAGCAAAGAGGUUCAGAGGGGAUGCAACCGUUCCAAAGCAUGAUGUCUACUCCUCUAUGAUAAGUUGCUGUUUGACAUUCUGGAGAGGUGUAAUCAUAUAAAGACACAGAUGUCCUCCAAGAGUUACACUCUAAUAAAGGAUGAUGGAAAGUCAAACAGAGACCAGAGUCUGGCCUUCUGUGGUCCAAGAGGCUAGAGACCAAUUCUUCCCUCACGCAACCCUCCCCUCAAUUAAAUAAACAAGCGAUUUGUCUGA